rnacentral:rRNA from 1 species
AUUGAACGCUGGCGGCAGGCCUAAUACAUGCAAGUCGAACGAGUGGCGGACGGGUGAGUAAUGUCUGGGAAACUGCCUGACGGAGGGGGAUACAUACUGGAAAAGGUAGCUAAUACCGCAUACCAGCAGAUGAGCCAAGAUGGGAUGAGCUAGUGGGUGGGGUACCGGAUCACCAAGGCGACGAGCCCUAGCGGGUCUGAGAGGAUGACCAGCCACACUGGAACUGAGACACGGUCCAGACUCCUACGGGAGGCAGCAGUGGGGAAUAUUGCACAAUGGGCGCAAGCCUGAUGUAGCCAUGCCGCGUGAAUGAAGAAGGCCUUCGGGUUGUAAAGUACUUUCAGCGGGGAUGCGUUACCCGCAGAAGAAGCACCGGCUAACUCCGUGCCAGCAGCCGCGGUAAUUC